rnacentral:rRNA from 1 species
GAUGAACGCUGGCGGCGUGCCUAAUACAUGCAAGUCGAGCGAACAGAUGAGGAGCUUGCUCCUCUGACGUUAGCGGCGGACGGGUGAGUAACACGUGGAUAACCUACCUAUAGGACUGGGAUAACUUCGGGAAACCGGAGCUAAUACCGGAUAAUAUAUUGAACCGCAUGGUUCAAUAGUGAAAGACGGUUUUGCUGUCACUUAUAGAUGGAUCCGCGCCGCAUUAGCUAGUUGGUAAGGUAACGGCUUACCAAGGCGACGAUGCGUAGCCGACCUGAGAGGGUGAUCGGCCACACUGGAACUGAGACACGGUCCAGACUCCUACGGGAGGCAGCAGUAGGGAAUCUUCCGCAAUGGGCGAAAGCCUGACGGAGCAACGCCGCGUGAGUGAUGAAGGUCUUCGGAUCGUAAAACUCUGUUAUUAGGGAAGAACAAAUGUGUAAGUAACUAUGCACGUCUUGACGGUACCUAAUCAGAAAGCCACGGCUAACUACGU